CCUACGGGCGGCAGCAGUGGGGAAUAUUGGACAAUGGGGGGAACCCUGAUCCAGCCAUGCCGCGUGUGUGAAGAAGGCCCUCGGGUUGUAAAGCACUUUCAGUGAGGAAGAACGCCUGGUGGUUAAUACCCAUCAGGAAAGACAUCACUCACAGAAGAAGCACCGGCUAACUCCGUGCCAGCAGCCGCGGUAAUACGGAGGGUGCGAGCGUUAAUCGGAAUUACUGGGCGUAAAGCGCGCGUAGGUGGCUUGAUAAGCCGGUUGUGAAAGCCCCGGGCUCAACCUGGGAACGGCAUCCGGAACUGUCAAGCUAGAGUGCAGGAGAGGAAGGUAGAACUCCCGGUGUAGCGGUGAAAUGCGUAGAGAUCGGGAGGAAUACCAGUGGCGAAGGCGGCCUUCUGGACUGACACUGACACUGAGGUGCGAAAGCGUGGGUAGCAAACAGGAUUAGAUACCCGAGUAGUC
rnacentral:rRNA from 1 species